UCAACAUUCUUAGUUCCCACGUAGUUCGUAUUGGACGGUUCUCAAGGCACCUUAUAGUGAAGCUUCUAGUAGUUAAAGCAGGUACUUGUGUUAGUGGUGGUGAUGUUACGAGGUGGCUUACUGAGGUGGUUGGUGGUGGCGGUGAUGGUCGUGUGGAUGGUGGUGUUGGCCGAGGCUAUUCCUCUCUACAAAGAUGGAGCCGUACAAGGGCCUAGAUGUCUCAUGUGUGGUCCAGGAGACUGCCCGAAAUGUUAUUUGCCUGACGUCAACGGGUUAUGUCGUCGCGUGUUUGUCUGUUAGCGCUGAACUCACCCCCCCCCUCUCUCUCUCUCUCUCUCUCUCUCUCUCUCUCUCUCUCUCUCUCCAUCAUUCUCUCUUUCUCUUUCGUUUUCUCAUAUUUUUUCCAGCUUCCCAGAAAAAACCCAGCUAUUUAAACGAAGAACGGCUUACUACCUGAAGAACGGCUUACUUGAUGAAGAGUGGUUUGCUAUCUGAAGAACGGCUUACAAGCUGAAGAACGGCUUACUAGCUGAAGAACGGCUUACUAGCUGAAGAACGGCUUACUAGCUGAAGAACGGCUUA